UUGAAAGGGAAACGAUUGAAGUCAGUCGUACCUGUGGGUAAUCAGCCUUCAGGGUGAGAUUUUGUGGAGUGUGAGGAGUUAAAACCUUCAUGCCUGCAUAUUCGUGCACUUUGGGAGUAUUUACCCGUCUGGUAAGUUAACAUCAAUUUCGGUGAUACUAAAAUGGCUGGAGGAAUGUAGCUUCGAUCCUGCAUUGAAGCAGUCAGCCUUCGGUAGAUGUGAUAAUCGGGAUUGAGGAUUGCAACGAAAAGCCCUCGGGGCUCCCUGUCUGAUCUCUGAUAAGGCUUUGGUGCUGAAAGAAGCCACGGUUAUCAAAGUCGAGGGUCAAUAGGUUAGAGCGGGUUAAAUUCGUUAAGGAUGUUGACGUA
rnacentral:rRNA from 1 species